NNNNCUGGUUUGCACUGGUCUUGACUGGUCUGUGCUGGUGUGGACUGGUUUGUGCUGGUUUGAGCUCACCUGGACUGUUCUGCGCUGGUCUGGACUGGUUUGCACUGGUCUGCACUGGUCUGCGCUGGUUUGGACUGGUUUGCACUGGUCUUGACUGGUCUGUGCUGGUGUGGACUGGUUUGUGCUGGUUUGAGCUGGCCUGGACUGGUCUGCGCUGGUCUGGACUGGUUUGCACUGGUCUUGACUGGUCUGUGCUGGUGUGGACUGGUUUGUGCUGGUUUGAGCUCACCUGGACUGUUCUGCGCUGGUCUGGACUGGUUUGCACUGGUCUUGACUGGUCUGUGCUGGUGUGGACUGGUUUGUGCUGGUUUGAGCUCACCUGGACUGUUCUGCGCUGGUCUGGACUGGUUUGCACUGGUCUUGACUGGUCUGUGCUGGUGUGGACUGGUUUGUGCUGGUUUGAGCUCACCUGGACUGUUCUGCGCUGGUCUGGACUGGUUUGCACUGGUCUUGACUGGUCUGUGCUGGUGUGGACUGGUUUGUGCUGGUUUGAGCUCACCUGGACUGGUCUGCGCUGGUGUGGACUGGUUUGCACUGCUGGUUUGCGCUGGUCUAGACUGGUUUGUGCUGGUCUGGACUGGUUUGAACUGGCCUGGAGCAGUCCGUACUAGUCUGUACUGGUUUCCCAUGCUGUGUACUAGUCUGUAUUGGUGCUUACUGGUCUGUCUUGAUUUAAACUGGUCAAGACUGGUUCACUGGCCUGGAGCAGUCCGUACUAGUCUGUACUGGUUUCCCAUGCUGUGUACUAGUCUGUAUUGGUGCUUACUGGUCUGUCUUGAUUUAAACUGGUCAAGACUGGUUUUCUAUUAGGACAUGUUGUUUUAUAGCAGCCUGUGGGUAGUUUAUACUGGUCUGGACUGGUUUGGGUUGGUCUAGGCUGGGUCAUACCAGUCCAGAGCCACUGCUACUGGCUCAUACUGGUCUAUACUGGUCUCGUCUCCUUUCUAAGGGCUGUUACUGGCUUGUAGCGGUUUCUGCUGGUUCACAGUGAUUUGUUAUGCCUUGUGACUGGUUUAUACUGGUCUGGACUGGUUCAGGGCAGUGCAGACCGUUUACACUGGUCUGGACUGGUCUCU
rnacentral:lncRNA from 1 species